UACGGGGGGGGCAAGCGUUGUUCGGAAUUACUGGGCGUAAAGGGCUCGUAGGCGGCCAACUAAGUCGGACGUGAAAUCCCUCGGCUUAACCGGGGAACUGCGUCCGAUACUGGAUGGCUUGAGUUCGGGAGAGGGAUGCGGAAUUCCAGGUGUAGCGGUGAAAUGCGUAGAUAUCUGGAGGAACACCGGUGGCGAAGGCGGCUUCCUGGACACUUACUGACGCUGAGACGCGAAAGCGUGGGGAGCAAACAGG
rnacentral:rRNA from 1 species